AUUGAACGCUGGCGGCAGGCCUAACACACGCAAGUCGAGCGGAUGAGGGGAGCUUGCUUCCCGAUUCAGCGGCGGACGGGUGAGUAAUGCCUAGGAAUCUGCCCGAUAGUGGGGGACAACGUUUCGAAAGGAACGCUAAUACCGCAUACGUCCUACGGGAGAAAGUGGGGGAUCUUCGGACCUCACGCUAUCGGAUGAGCCUAGGUCGGAUUAGCUAGUUGGUGAGGUAAUGGCUCACCAAGGCGACGAUCCGUAACUGGUCUGAGAGGAUGACCAGUCACACUGGAACUGAGGCACGUGCCAGACUCCUACGGGAGGCAGCAGUGGGGAAUAUUGGACGAUGGGCGAAAGCCUGAUCCAGCCAUGCCGCGUGUGUGAAGAAGGUCUGCGGAUUGUACAGCACUUUAAGUUGGGAGGAAGGGCUGUAAGCUAAUAUCUUGCAGUUUUGACGUUACCAACAGAAUAAGCACCGGCUAACUUCGUGCCAGCAGCCGCGGUAAUAC
rnacentral:rRNA from 1 species